rnacentral:rRNA from 1 species
UACGUAGGCAGCGAGCGUUGUUCGGAGUUACUGGGCGUAAAGGGUGUGUAGGCGGUUGUUUAAGUUUGGUGUGAAAUCUCCCGGCUCAACUGGGAGGGUGCGCCGAAUACUGAAUGACUUGGAGUGCGGGAGAGGAAAGUGGAAUUCCUGGUGUAGCGGUGAAAUGCGUAGAUAUCUGGAGGAAUACCGGUGGCGAAGGCGGCGUUCUGGACCAUUACUGACACUGAAUCGCGAAAGCUAGGGGAGCAAACGGG